GGGGUUGUGGCUCAGUGGCAGAGUGCUCACCUUGAACGUGUGAGGCAUUGGGUUCGAUUCUCAGCACCA
rfam:Ictidomys tridecemlineatus contig098065, whole genome shotgun sequence.